UACGUAGGGUGCGAGCGUUGUCCGGAAUUAUUGGGCGUAAAGGGCUCGUAGGCGGUUUGUCGCGUCGGGAGUGAAAACAUCUGGCUUAACUGGGUGCUUGCUUUCGAUACGGGCAGACUAGAGGUAUGCAGGGGAGAACGGAAUUCCUGGUGCAGCGGUGAAAUGCGCAGAUAUCAGGAGGAACACCGGUGGCGAAGGCGGUUCUCUGGGCAUGAUCUGACGCUGAGGAGCGAAAGUGUGGGGAGCGAACAGG
rnacentral:rRNA from 1 species